CUCCACCGCCUCCGCUCUCGCCCCCACAGCCGGCGACCUCGUCUCGCACCGCCGCCCCUCUCAUCCCCUCCCCAGCUCCCCUCCACUCAUCCGACGGCGGCUAGAUGCGCACACAACCGGCGACCAACAUCACACAAAGGUCGCCACCGCCGGCGGUGGAAGGACAGUCUUCUCCCGCCGCUAGCCGCAGCCUCCGCCUCGCCCUGAUCCUCGGCCUCCUCGACCGCCGCUCGCUCUCCUGGGAAGCACCUCGCCGCCUCCCUGCCCAUGCCGUCUUCGCCGACUGCCCUGCUCGCGCCGACCUCGCCAAUCUCGCGGCCGCGCUUGGCAGUGCUCGACUUGUCCUCGCCGCCGCCAGCGGCGACGGGUCCUUCCCGUGCCUCUACCGCCUCGUGGCCGAGUCCUCCUCUCCCCAAAUCGACACCCGCCCCUUUGUCGAGCCUGCCGUGCCAGCGACAUGAGCAGGAUGGUGGCCGUCGAGGCUUCGGAUGCGGUCGACGCAGAUGAGAACAGUUCAUAGAGCCGUACCAGGCAGAACAAGCUGUUCCACGCAUGGGGUCUGAUUUGAAUAUUUUCGGAGAUGCAUAAUAUGCCAAACACUUCUAAAGGUGCCUCGUCCAUGGGCGCAUGAUAGUGGAAAACAUCUGUAAAUUGUGCAGGAUCCUAUAGAGCAAAUGGGCAUCAUCGACGUGCAGUACACGCUCUCUUAGGCAGAUAAGUAACCUCAGACAACUUAUUUUGUGAAGACCGGUGGUUCAUGGUCUGAAAGUUUUGUUUUUCUCUCUAAAUUUUAUACUUAGAUAAUCCCUUAAAUGCUUUUUACUGCUUGAUCACAUAAUACAUGUCCGUGCAAGAAAGGAGUUGUUAACUGAAACAAUAAUGUUAAUUUUUGUUGUUAGCUGAAACAAUAAUGUUAAUUUUUGUUAACUACAAACGGUCUUGGACAUUGGUUUUUUCAAAUUAACUCCGUGUUGAACUGGUUCUUCUUGUUGUGUGCUGCAGCCCAGCAAUCUGUUCAUGCCAAAUGAUUGAGUCCUGGUGAGGUUCAUUGCUGGACAUGCAUGGUCUCCGCAGGCAAGGAACACAUAAAAGUAAAUCAGCGUGUUAUCAGAAACUCAUGAGCAUGAAAGAGAAAUUUGGAUCAUGUGCGAACAUGGGUAGAGAGCAGAUCGAGGAGAACUUGAAGAUUAAAGGCAAUGAAAGGUAU